rnacentral:lncRNA from 1 species
GGCUUUUGGGGAAAGAACUUCCAGCCAAUAGGAGCGCGGCACGGGAGCUCCGGGAGCCGGACACAGACAUGGCCUCUGACCCGCCCUAGCCCGGGUAAAUGGUGUCCCUGAACAGAAGAUGGAUGGGAGAAAGCCCGUCCAGGUAUGGAGUAGUAGGUGUGAGAAAGAGCUACAUCCUUGUGGGGCAAGUGACCCAUGCCACCAGAAAGAAGAGGUAAGGCUCUGUGAGCCCAAACCCCAUGGAACUCAGAAUUGAGUACAGUAGGCAUCGGACCAGCUCUCUGCCAAACUCUCCCUGCCCUGGAACGCAUAACCACAACAUCCUACUGAGAGGCCACGACCAUCAGUCACAUAAGGACAAACACCUGGAGCGCUUCCCCAUGCUACUAGAGCAUCACUAGCAUCUCAGAGUGAACCAAUGGGAAGCAUCUAUCCGCAUCCCGUCCUACUCCUCAAUGUUUAUAGAGUUCCUAUCCGUAUGGAAUAAAGCACACAAGUUAUUUCACCGAGAA